ACACGUAAGGGGCAAGCGUUGUUCGGAAUUAUUGGGCGUAAAGGGCGCGUAGGCGGACCUGCAAGCCCGGCGUGAAAUCCUGGAGCUUAACUCCGGAACUGCGCUGGGAACUGCGGGACUAGAGUCAUGGAGGGGGAGUUGGAAUUCCAGGUGUAGGGGUGAAAUCUGUAGAUAUCUGGAAGAACACCGGUGGCGAAGGCGAACUUCUAGCCAAUGACUGACGCUGAGGCGCGAAAGUGCGGGGAGCAAACAGGAUUAGAUACCCUGGUAGUCCGCACAGUAAACGAUGCACACUAGGUGUUGGGUCGAGCGACUCGGUGCCGAAGCUAACGUGAUAAGUGUGCCGCCUGGGGAGUAUGCCCGCAAGGGUGAA
rnacentral:rRNA from 1 species